rnacentral:rRNA from 1 species
UACGGAGGGGGCUAGCGUUGUUCGGAAUUACUGGGCGUAAAGCGCGCGUAGGCGGCUUUGUAAGUUAGAGGUGAAAGCCCGGAGCUCAACUCCGGAACUGCCUUUAAGACUGCAUCGCUAGAAUCAUGGAGAGGUGAGUGGAAUUCCGAGUGUAGAGGUGAAAUUCGUAGAUAUUCGGAAGAACACCAGUGGCGAAGGCGACUCACUGGACAUGUAUUGACGCUGAGGUGCGAAAGCGUGGGAGCAAACAGG